CGCACUGUGCCCUGAGGUGCAAGAGGAUGCAGGGUGGAAGUCGUCCCAAGAGAGUCCAGGGAUCAAGUGGGCAUGCCCUUUUAGCCUUGGCACGAAAUGGAGCAGAAAAAGAGCCGGAUGCGGAUUACUGUGGUGCCCUAGGCUCAGAUUCUGCUGAGUCACUGUGACUGCGGAUUUGGAAGGCUGAGAGUCCUGGGGAGACAUGCUCCGUGGAGACGAAUUUGUUUCUUCCUUUGCAAGAUUCAGAUUCUGCACUUGGGGGCCCAUACAACACACUUCCCUGGGUGCAUGCCACUGCACCACCCCUGCUCCUCAAGUUCAGAUGGGGUUUUAUCCU
rnacentral:lncRNA from 1 species